rnacentral:rRNA from 1 species
UACGUAGGGUGCGAGCGUUGUCCGGAAUUAUUGGGCGUAAAGAGCUUGUAGGCGGUUUGUCGCGUCUGCUGUGAAAAUCCGGGGCUCAACCCCGGACUUGCAGUGGGUACGGGCAGGCUAGAGUGUGGUAGGGGAGACUGGAAUUCCUGGUGUAGCGGUGAAAUGCGCAGAUAUUGGGAAGAACACCAGUGGCGAAGGCGGUUCUCUGGGACGGUACUGACGCUGAGACGCGAAAGCGUGGGGAGCGAACAGG